AAUUUAGAUUAUAUAACUUAGUUUACUUUGUGAAAUUUUGUGAUGAUUGCUAAAAAUGGUUAUUAGUCGGAGAGAAGAGCUGAAAAUGGAAUUUAUAAGGUUACUUUAAUGAUCUACUUACCCAACUACAACAAGUAACUUCUCCUCCAUUUAAUUGUGAUUUGAUGGAGAGACACGAGUAGAAAAUGCAACAGUCGCCUCUCUUGAGAUAAUCAUCAUUACCUCUGACUAUCUCUCUUCUGUAAUGGCAUUAAAUUUUAAAUCCCACUAAAUCGUCUCUUUCUUCAAACCCCUCCUUCUCUCCCA
rnacentral:lncRNA from 1 species